rnacentral:ncRNA from 2 species
AUAGUAAGAAAAGCGCUGGUGCUUGCGUUAUCUGGACGGAAAAGAUUCUUUACGCAAGCAGACGAGGAAGAGGUUUAUCGAGUAGUCAGCGGAUACCUCUCGGCAUGUUGCAGGCCGUAAAACAGCCCUACAAAACCACCGGGCGACUCGUGGGACAAAAAGGCUGCCGCAAAGACA